AUCCUGGUUGUUAUGUAUUCCAUUUCGCUCUGAUGUAUAAUAUAUUAUAGGUUGUACAUUAUGACAGUUUAUUCAGGAUUUUCUCAAGAUUAUGUAUUGCCCGGCAAAUUAUCUUGUAAUUAUACUAUGUCGGACAAAAGUUAUUCUGUAAUUUUAAUGUUUCCCGAUUCAGUUAUGUAUGCUCCUAUUGAUAUUCUAGAUAAAUCAAUAUGGGGUGUUAUAUAGGAUGUUUUGAAUUGUAAUGACUUGUAUUUUGCUUGAAUGUUAUAACAUUUUGGAUUGUUGGUAUUUUGCUUGAAUCGUAAGACUUGGUAUUUUAUUUGAAUUGUAAUGACUUGGUUGAAUGUAAUUAUAUUUUGGUUGAAUGUUGAAUUGUAAUGCUAUUUUGAUUUUUUUUAAUUACAA
rnacentral:lncRNA from 1 species